GUCAACUAUGAGCAACUGAUUUUGAGGACCUAAGACAGAGUCCUGGGAUCCAACAAUGGGGUUCACAUGAACACACUGAUACACUGGUCACUCUCGAAGAUCCCUCCCAGGACUGACCACUGAAUACCAGACCACCAAUUGGUGUGUACCUCUUUGGGGAAGGUCUGAAAGGAGACAUUUUCAGAUGGGGUCUGGGUGACAGGAAGACAACUUUCCAUGGUCUUGGAAAGGAAGCGAGUAUGGGAAAUAAGGUUUGCAGCAAGCAGCAGAGUGAGCCGGACAUGGAAGACAAGAUGGAGAGAUGUAAACAGAUCCGAGAAGCAGGCUGGUGGCACGUAGAACUUAAUUGACAGCACAGGAUGACGUGAGAGGAAACACCGCCCGGUUUCUAGUUAACCGACUGGAAGACUGGAGCCUUCCCUUCAGGGCCGGACGUCAAGGCACUUCUACAUUACUGUCAAGGCAUGCCCACUUACCGACUGAACUGUUCGUAGUUACUUUUCUACUGCCGCAAUAAAAGACCGUGUCCAAGGCAAUGUAGAAAAGAAA